UGAGCCUAGACUGCUUGGUGAGCUCAAGGAAAAGGUGACAGCUGGUCCUCCCUGGCCCCAUGCAAAAGAUGUGGCCUUCAGGAACACCCCACGCACCCCAGCUGAUUGUCUCCGCCAGAUAAGAAAGCACCCAAGACACAGCAAAGAGACAUGUUCUGGGAGGCACUGCAGUGCUCCAAUGCAGAGAAAAGGGAACGCAAGAAGUGCUGGGAAGCCAAAUGGCAGGACAAAAAAGAGAAUCAGGAGUUUGUUAAGGACGCAACUGAGCAGAUGAUUAAAGUAAUGGAGGGGCAACUGCAGAUGCUGAAGUCCUUGAUAAUGCUGCAGACUGCAGCACAUUCUGAACACUUUUCUAUGCCCACCUCCCAACUCUGCCUGUACAUUCCUUUUCACUUUCCAGAACUUCUCGGUUUCCCAUUUACUUCACACCCUUGGACAACUUUCACAAUGAUAACUGGACCAAAACACAGCUGUGAAAGUCUGCCCUUCCCUGGUUCCUCCUUUCCCUCCAAGAGUGUUUCUGUGUGCUGUUUUUAUGCAAUAAAAGCAAAGUUUUCAAAUGGUAA